GACGAACGCUGGCGGCGUGCCUAAUACAUGCAAGUAGAACGCACAGUUUAUACCGUAGCUUGCUACACCAUAGACUGUGAGUUGCGAACGGGUGAGUAACGCGUAGGUAACCUGCCUGGUAGCGGGGGAUAGCUAUUGGAAACGAUAGCUAAUACCGCAUAAUAUUAAUUAUUGCAUGAUAAUUAAUUGAAAGGUGCAUUUGCACCACUACCAGAUGGACCUGCGUUGUAUUAGCUAGUAGGUGAGGUAACGGCUCACCUAGGCGACGAUACAUAGCCGACCUGAGAGGGUGAUCGGCCACACUGGGACUGAGACACGGCCCAGACUCCUACGGGAGGCAGCAGUAGGGAAUCUUCGGCAAUGGACGAAAGUCUGACCGAGCAACGCCGCGUGAGUGAAGAAGGUUUUCGGAUCGUAAAGCUCUGUUGUAAGAGAAGAACGGGUGUGAGAGUGGAAAGUUCACACUGUGACGGUAUCUUACCAGAAAGGGACGGCUAAUUACGUG
rnacentral:rRNA from 1 species